UCUUCUAGCUUGCUAGAAGUGGAUUAGUGGCGCACGGGUGAGUAAUGCAUAGGUUAUGUGCCCUUUAGUCUGGGAUAGCCACUGGAAACGGUGAUUAAUACUGGAUACUCCCUACGGGGGAAAGUUUUUCGCUAAAGGAUCAGCCUAUGUCCUAUCAGCUUGUUGGUGAGGUAAUGGCUCACCAAGGCUAUGACGGGUAUCCGGCCUGAGAGGGUGAUCGGACACACUGGAACUGAGACACGGUCCAGACUCCUACGGGAGGCAGCAGUAGGGAAUAUUGCUCAAUGGGGGAAACCCUGAAGCAGCAACGCCGCGUGGAGGAUGAAGGUUUUAGGAUUGUAAACUCCUUUUGUUAGAGAAGAUUAUGACGGUAUCUAACGAAUAAGCACCGGCUAACUCCGUGCCAGCAGCCGCGGUAAUACGGAGGGUGCAAGCGUUACUCGGAAUCACUGGGCGUAAAGAGUGCGUAGGCGGGGUAAUAAGUCAGAUGUGAAAUCCUGUAGCUUAACUACAGAACUGCAUUUGAAACUGUUACUCUGGAGUGUGGGAGAGGUAGGUGGAAUUCUUGGUGUAGGGGUAAAAUCCGUAGAGAUCAAGAGGAAUACUCAUUGCGAAGGCGACCUGCUGGAACAUUACUGACGCUGAUGCACGAAAGCGUGGGGAGCAAACAGGAUUAGAUACCCUGGUAGUCCACGCCCUAAACGAUGGAUGCUAGUUGUUGCCUUGCUUGUCAGGGCAGUAAUGCAGCUAACGCAUUAAGCAUCCCGCCUGGGGAGUACGGUCGCAAGAUUAAAACUCAAAGGAAUAGACGGGGACCCGCACAAGCGGUGGAGCAUGUGGUUUAAUUCGAAGAUACGCGAAGAACCUUACCUAGGCU
rnacentral:rRNA from 1 species